rnacentral:rRNA from 1 species
UAGGGAAUCUUCGGCAAUGGGGGCAACCCUGACCGAGCAACGCCGCGUGAGUGAAGAAGGUUUUCGGAUCGUAAAGCUCUGUUGUAAGAGAAGAACGUGUGUGAGAGUGGAAAGUUCACACAGUGACGGUAACUUACCAGAAAGGGACGGCUAACUACGUGCCAGCAGCCGCGGUAAUACGUAGGUCCCGAGCGUUGUCCGGAUUUAUUGGGCGUAAAGCGAGCGCAGGCGGUUUAAUAAGUCUGAAGUUAAAGGCAGUGGCUUAACCAUUGUUCGCUUUGGAAACUGUUAAACUUGAGUGCAGAAGGGGAGAGUGGAAUUCCAUGUGUAGCGGUGAAAUGCGUAGAUAUAUGGAGGAACACCGGUGGCGAAAGCGGCUCUCUGGUCUGUAACUGACGCUGAGGCUCGAAAGCGUGGGGAGCAAACAGGAUUAGAUACCCUGGUAGU